rnacentral:rRNA from 1 species
CCUACGGGUGGUAGCAGUGGGGAAUAUUGGGCAAUGGGGGCAACCCUGAUCCAGCGACGCCGCGUGAGUGAAGAAGGUUUUCGGUAUGUAAAGCUCUAUUAGCAGGGAAGAAGAAAGACCGUUACUGAAUAAGAAGCCCCGGCUAACUACGUGGCAGCAGCCGCGGUAAUACGUAGGGGGCAAGCGUUAUCCGGAUUUACGGGGUUUAAGGGGAGCGUAGACGGCUGUGAAAGUCUUAAGGGAAAGCCCAGGGCUCAACCCUGGGACUGCUUUUGAAACUGUGGGGCUAGAGUGCUGGAGAGGAAAGUGGAAUUCCUAGUGUAGCGGUGAAAUGCGUAGAUAUUAGGAGGAACACCAGUGGCGAAGGCGGCUUACUGGACAGUAACUGACAUUGAGGCUCGAAAGCGUGGGGAGCAAACAGGAUUAGAUACCCUUGUAGUC